rnacentral:rRNA from 1 species
CGUGUGUGAAGAAGGCUUUCGGGUUGUAAAGCACUUUCAGUGGGGAAGAAGGCCUGUCGGUUAAUACCCGGCAGGGACGACAUCACCCACAGAAGAAGCACCGGCUAACUCCGUGCCAGCAGCCGCGGUAAUACGGAGGGUGCGAGCGUUAAUCGGAAUUACUGGGCGUAAAGCGCGCGUAGGCGGCGUGAUAAGCCGGUUGUGAAAGCCCCGGGCUCAACCUGGGAACGGCAUCCGGAACUGUCGCGCUAGAGUGCAGGAGAGGAAGGUAGAAUUCCCGGUGUAGCGGUGAAAUGCGUAGAGAUCGGGAGGAAUACCAGUGGCGAAGGCGGCCUUCUGGACUGACACUGACGCUGAGGUGCGAAAGCGUGGGUAGCAAACAGGAUUAGAUACCCUGGUAGUCCACGCCGUAAACGAUGUCGACUAGCCGUUGGGCGCCUCGAGUGCUUAGUGGCGAAGUUAACGCGAUAAGUCGACCGCCUGGG